GGGUGUGUAAGCGCAGCGAUGCGUUGAGCUAACCGGUACUAAUGAACCGUGAGGCUUAACCUUACAACGCCGAAG
rnacentral:rRNA from 14 species